CCUACGGGCAGCAGCAGUGGGGAAUAUUGCGCAAUGGGCGAAAGCCUGACGCAGCGACGCCGCGUGAGGGAUGAAGGUCUUCGGAUCGUAAACCUCUGUCAGCAGGGAAGAACGGUCACUGUGCUAAUCAGCAGUGCAUUGACGGUACCUGCAAAGGAAGCACCGGCUAACUCCGUGCCAGCAGCCGCGGUAAUACGGAGGGGGCGAGCGUUAAUCGGAAUUACUGGGCGGAAAGCGCUCGUAGGCGGUAUGGCAAGUCAAGGGUGAAAUCCCCGCGCGCAACGUGGGAACUGCCUUUGAAACUGGCAAACUGGAGUGUGUGAGAGGAUAGUGGAAUGCCAGGUGUAGGAGUGAAAUCCGUAGAUAUCGGGAGGAACAUCAGUGGCGAAGGCGACUAUCUGGCACAUAACUGACGCUGAGGAGCGAAAGCGUGGGUAGCAAACAGGAUUAGAUACCCCUGUAGUC
rnacentral:rRNA from 1 species